UGGGGAAUAUUGCACAAUGGGCGCAAGCCUGAUGCAGCCAUGCCGCGUGUAUGAAGAAGGCCUUCGGGUUGUAAAGUACUUUCAGCGGGGAGGAAGGGAGUAAAGUUAAUACCUUUGCUCAUUGACGUUACCCGCAGAAGAAGCACCGGCUAACUCCGUGCCAGCAGCCGCGGUAAUACGGAGGGUGCAAGCGUUAAUCGGAAUUACUGGGCGUAAAGCGCACGCAGGCGGUUUGUUAAGUCAGAUGUGAAAUCCUCGGGCUCAACCUGGGAACUGCAUCUGAUACUGGCAAGCUUGAGUCUCGUAGAGGGGGGUAGAAUUACAGGUGUAGCGGUGAAAUGCGUAGAGAUCUGGAGGAAUACCGGUGGCGAAGGCGGCCCCCUGGACGAAGACUGACGCUCAGGUGCGAAAGCGUGGGGAGCAAACAGG
rnacentral:rRNA from 1 species